rnacentral:lncRNA from 1 species
CUGAAUAUAGUACUUCAAGGUAAGGGCAAAUCACUCUGAAAGCUAGAAAAAGUCUUAACUGAACAGAACAUGUGCAUGUAUAAUCUCUCUUCUGAGUAAAACAAAUCCUAACCAUGGUAAGUAAAGGGAAACAAGGAAAGAAGGUGAGUAAUCUUGAUGCAUAUAUUCUUCACUGCAAUGAUUCAAAAUAGGUGUUUUGAGUGAGAGCUUAAGUGAAAAUAAGGA